UACGUAGAGUGCAAGCGUUGUCCGGAAUUAUUGGGCGUAAAGAGCUCGUAGGCGGUCUGUCGCGUCGGCUGUGAAAACCCGGAGCUCAACUCCGGGCCUGCAGUCGAUACGGGCAAACUGGAGUGUUGCAGGGGAGACUGGAAUUCCUGGUGUAGCGGUGAAAUGCGCAGAUAUCAGGAGGAACACCGGUGGCGAAGGCGGGUCUCUGGGCAACAACUGACGCUGAGGAGCGAAAGCGUGGGGAGCGAACAGG
rnacentral:rRNA from 1 species